GUUCCGAUUGCGGUUUUUGGAUUGUACCACGCUGGUGCUUUUUUUGGAUUUGCACAUCAGUUCUUCUAACGUGCGCCAGGUAGCAUCAUAGAUAGAGUAUUUAUUUAUUUUAUUUAUUUCUUAAAUUCCUACUCCUGUCUUGUUCAAUGUGUCGGCGUUGAACGGUGUCGUUAGUUACGUGUUCUAGAAAAUGGAAAGAAGAAAGAAAAUCAAAAGAGUUUGCAUUUGAGUUCAUAACUUCAUAUAUAGAUUGGUGGGGGACCUACUCUAUUUUCUUUUAUUAAUAUAUUCAUUCAGGUGGUACAGCAAAAGCUUGGGAAUUGGGAUGACACAUAAAUAACACUUUACAACCAUGCAAGUUGUUUUCAACUAAUUAUUAGUUGGCUUUUAAAUUUUUAGUUAAUAUUUUAAUAAAUGAAUCUAUUUAAUCUUGAUAUAUGUUAAUCCAUUUACUCUAACAUGUAAUGGUCUAUGUUUACUGAUUUAUAUAAGGACUAAACUUAGGUACAAUAUCUAUAUAAGGUUAUUAUUUCAUCUCAGUAUCCAUGUAACUAACACUGUUAACUCACAUUUAACUUUUUUUUGUUGUUUCACAUUCCUUUUCUCUUCUUUAUUCAUUUCUCACCGCUAUCAUAUUCCUCUGCCAUUUGCUUUUCUUCGAACGGUUCUUCCAUCCCAUGAAGAGCUCCUAAUUCAAAAUCUCUCAUCUUUCUUUCUCAUAUAAAUCAUGAUGAUGUUUGGAUUCCCUUUUGAAUAACAGAUUUGUGAUGGGGUUUAGAGAUGUAUGAGAUUCAUGAGUUUCUUCUCAUUACAAUUUUUGACCUCAAAAUUUAUGUUGUUAUUCUACUCUUUUUGGAAUAGAUUUUGCUCAUUGUUUUUAUUAAAACUUCAGCACUACAUUUCCAUAUACUGUUAUUUGAUUCUUUGGUGUUUUCUUUUUUUGGGUUAUUUGUUUUAAUCAUUUCUCUUGUCAUUUUAUCAGUGGUAUCAUAUGACAAACCAAGAAGAGGAAUAUGAAUUGAGGAAUGCGAGAAACAAACACUCCAUAAAAUAUGAUAGUACUGAGAAUUGAAGAAUAAAGAAGAGAAGAGGAAUGUGAAACAACAAAAAUGAGUUAAAUGUGACUUCACAGUGUUAGUUAGGUUGAUGUUGAGAUGAAAAAAUAUUUACACGUGUCCAAAUAUGACUCAUCACCAGCA
rnacentral:lncRNA from 1 species